ensembl:lncRNA
GGUCUGCCUCGGCUGAUGCGCCUGCUCUGCGGUAAUUAUUUACAACCCCAGCUUUCUGGGGCGUACCCUUGGGGACAGGCAGGACUUGGCCUUGAAUCACACUGCACGUGGCUCUCAGCCACCUCCCAGUUUUCCUUUGAUUCCAUUAGCGCCUAUCUCAUUUUAAAAGGCUCCCAGGAAAGGGUGGCCUUGCCCCAGCCGCCCGCCGGCUCCUGCAGGCUCCAGCUCUGACCCCAUGUGCCCGCCAUCACUGCUGCUGCUUUCCUUCCGCCCGAGCUAACUCUGAACCUGACAGAUUGCUUCUCAGUGACCACAGCUUCUGACCACCUACGAUGGUCUGGCCAGGAAGUGAGCACAGCUCUCCACCCUCGUAGAGGUAGUCUUGUUCUUCCAGUUUUACACACCUCAGCUGGGAAAUCUGAACAGGUUGGAACCCGUACACGUUUCAUUUGAAGACAACGUCUGGAGUCUCACCAAGCACCUUGCUUGCUGAUUCAGGGCUGACGCCCCAGGUUAGGGCGCAGGCUUCGGCUCCAUCUCAGAGAGUUUUCUGCCUUCCUAGAGCAAAACUCCCUCCGCUUGCCCCUUUCUCUUGCUCCCAGCCACACACCUCUGAGGCAGGAGCAUCAUUGCCUCCCACUUACUACUAAGGACUGAUAGUCCUGGUCUUAGAGCUAAUUUUGAUGCUUUCAUUACUUUUUUAUCCGAAUAAGCCUUAAGAUGUUAUGCAAUAAAAUUUUGCUUGUCUUAGAGCUAUCCCAGAGUUCUCAAGGGAGUGACAGAUGAAGGUGCCCCUUGGAACUCUUCUUACUCAUCACAGCCAACACUUAUUCAGCACCUACCAUGUGUGCGGGACUGUGCUAAACAUGUUGCUUGCAUGGUCUCAUUUGAUCUCCACCAAAACCCUAUGACUUCCCCAUUUUACAGAUGAGACAGUCCUGGCUUAGGGGAUCUAAGAAACUUGCCCUAAAUUUGCAAAGGGAGCCAAGAAGAGAUUUGAAUCCAGGUCUCUCUGCACCCAGAGCCCAUGCUCUUGACCACUGUGCAUUUAGUCUCACACAGUUAGACCCAGAAUACCAGCUGCCUCACUGCAAAGAGGCACACAGCACACCACAUCCAGGUUCAGCUUUUGACAGUGUGGACUGAUUUAAAUUUCACUUCAAUUCAGGAAAAUGCUUGGGUGCUUAUUUGUCAUCAACACUGUGGUUAGCACAGUGAGGAUAGAGAAGGAGGUUCAGAAAUUCCUCUGUUCUUGGAAAUUUGAGAGACUAGACAUAAACACAAGCAGUUGGAUACAACAGAAUGACAUUUCCUUAAGCUUAGGUGGCACAGAAGAGGAUAUAGUAGUGACAGAAUCAACAGGGUCUACAGUGGCAGGGAGGGUUAGUCCUCAGGGAGCUGGCAGUGUGUCCCAACCGCAGAGAUCAGGGGCUGGUGUGGCUGGAGACGUUUUCACGGAGAAGGGUGGGCUUGAACUUUUGGUUGUGGAAAGGAAGAGGGGAGAGCCUUCCAACCAAGAGAAGGCAGCAUCAAAGGCAGGAGGAUGGACGGAGCGUGAGCACUGGGGAUGCAGCAAGAUGGGCCAGACUGGAGAGUAGCCCACCUUGGGGAUGGUAGAGGGUAAAUUUGAGAAGGAUAUUGAAAGUCAUACUCAGAAGUUUGGGAUUGAGUGUGAAGGCAAUGGGGGACCACAGAAGGCAUUUGGAUAUUGGAAAGAUAGGCAAAAACAAAAAUCAUAUGGAGUGUUUUUUUCACAGCCUGGGUCAUUUCACUGUAUCAGAUGACUGUGGCUAGAGUGAGGAUGUUAACACUGGACUCCAGAAUUAAGUUCUGUUAUCCAUUCCACAGUAGAGCCACAUUCUUUCUGCCCAGACUUUCCCUAAAGCAGAGAAACGCUCAUGUGGAAAGUGAGAGCUUGCUCACUGGCUCAGAGUAAAGGGUGAUAGCUGAUCUUAGUAAGAGAGCCAUCAGCUGUGACAAUCCCCACUCCCACUGUAAGGAGGUCCUGCCAAGAGAGCAGUGAUGCUUGUUUCAGCACGCGUGUGGGUCUCCCUGCCUCUUCCUUGGAUCUGAGAAAUAUUUGUUUUUCUUGGUCCAGUUGGAUGAACAAGCUAUUCUCCUUGCUGUAGAGUUGGGAAGCACUAUGAGCUCUGGAGUAACUUUUGCUGGGCUGAUUUAUCCUUUCCAGAUUGGCAAUACUUUCAGCCUUAGAGAAUGUUCUUACCCCCAUGUUCUGAGAAGGUGUGGCCACUUGGAGUCUGGCAGCUUUCUUUGCCUCUCUGCGUAGACCAUGAGCCAUGAUGGUGCUAUUAGCAUAAUUCAUGAUUUCUCUGUCCUUUGAAUCUCUGAGUAGCGUGAAAAAAUCUGUUUCCCCUUGUGUUGCGUUCAAAACCUAAUAUAGAUGUGCUGUUACAGGUUACCUGUGUCAUUCUAGCUAGCAAUACUUACAAUUCUUAUUUACAAACUUCCCAGGUCAUCAGAGGAGGAGGCAGGUAAUAUUUGAGAUGCCUUCUCCAAAACUUUUCACAAAAAUACCCAUGAAACUGCACAAAAGAGUGAAAAAAGGAAGAACACUACACUGUAAAUUUAAGAUAGAGAAAGGCCAUCUGCUGAGGCCCACAGGGACUGUCUGCUAAUGUAAUUGUCAGUGAGACGGACUGAGAAGCAUCUUAACAUGAUAAUCGACCUGCCCUGUGUGCUGAGCCAGAGAAGCCCAGUGGUGCAGGGAGACUGGAAAGCACCCUGCCCCCAUCAUAGGCCCCGACUAUUUCAGGACCCGGGAGCCACACUGGCCAGAAAAGCAGAUGGUCCAACUGGGAAAAAACUUGUCUUUUGAGCCAGCCGGAGUCAUUCCAUAGUCAUGCCUUCCACCCAAACCCUCAGCUUCUCUCUCUCCACGUCCGUUCAGAGACUGUGGCCCCCAGACCACAGCCGGGCAGGAGAUAGAUGGAGACAAGCAGAGGUGUUGUGUCCAAAGUGGCUGGUUGUGCAAUAGGGAGAGAGGCAAGAAGAGGGCCGGGGCAAUGCGUGCAGGGAGGGCAGAGCAGAACAGCAGGUGGCCUCUCAGUCUCUCUCCUACUAGUGAGAAAUUGCAGCCAUUAGAGCAGGAGCGGCCCCAGCCGAAUACUUGGAGGCCUGCGGUAGCUGAUACCUGGUGGAGCCUGGCGGGCGACCGAGGUCUGUGUGUGUCAGUUCACCCUCAGACCUGCUUGGCUUGUGCCCAGAGGAAAGUGAGGGACUGUGCAGACCCUUCACCAAGACUGUCUGCCAGCAAGCGCCACACUUGAGCACACUGUUCUCUCUUCCAUAUGAAUAGACAGAAAAAAUGCCCAAAGGGACCUACGAAAAGAACACUGCAAGAUAAGGGAAAGAAAGCUUUCCUUUAAAACUUGAAGCAAGAUUAUAUAUCUGAAAAUAAAUUUCUUCAAGAAAGAGAAAAAGGUUUUAGCAGACUUACUUUUGAUAUUCUCAAAAAGGUAUGAGAAGGCAUAGCCACUAUGAGAUGGGAGUCAGGGGCCAUCAGAAGAAAACAGACUGGGAUGAAGGAAGAUUUGCAAAGACUGAAACAAGAAAUGAGGGCAUAUCUGCCAGAAGCAGAAGAGCUGACUUAAAACCUGCCCUGAAGAGAGUAAAUACAGAGAAGACUCUGCGGAGAUCAGACCAGUAAAGUGGGUGACAAAAUAAGGAACAAGAGAACAAGAUGGAAAUCGUGACAGAGGAGGCAGAAAGCACAGAUCUAAUCUAACAAUUAAUUUACUUCCAACAAAGGAAAGGAACCAAACACUGGAAGCAACAGUCAAGCACAGAUCAGAAGAAAACUUUUCUGAGCUGGAGAAGAUCUGGGAGAAAACUAAAAUUACCAGACCUGCACAGAGACACAUCCUCUAAGAUGUUUGAGUUUCCAGGUUAGAGAUAGAAUCUUUCAGGCAUUUAGACAGAAAUGAGCAGGUUACUAGUGAAACAGACAUCAAGCUGGUCUCAGACUUCUCAAUUCUGAAGGCUGAAAGACUGUUCUAGAAGACCAGGUUGUGUCUCAAGAAUUCCAUGUUCACCCAACAUGGCGUUCAUGUGCAAAGGCUGUAGGAAUUCAUCUUCAGAUUUACAGGAGGCAGAAAAUAUACCCCACCUGGUCCCUUCUUGAAAAAAAGGUGUUUGAAUUUGUAGUCCCAUUGAUCAACAGGUGAACUGGCAUGAGGACGCACACACAAAAGUAUAAAAGGACUUGCGUUUCCUUUUCAAGUGAGGAAAAAUGCUGGCCCCAGUGAAAGGGAGCAGCAGUCAGAGGAAACUCAAACCAAGCUGACUGUGGGGAGGUAAGUGUUCGCAUCUGGUCAGUUCUUUACGGCUUCUGAAAGUUCGCUCAGGAAUUCAUGAGUUGUAGUUAAGCCAAUGUAAGAAUUUUGAAAUAAAAUUUUUUUCUCUGUGGUUUGGCCUUUGUUGAAGCUUUGAUUUGAAGUGAGAAAGAAGAGGAAUCUUGUGAAUUUUUACAUGUGAUGUUCUUCAUAGAAUGGGUGUGGAAAUGAGAAAGUGGAAAUUAUGCCUUAUAUGAGUAUAAGAGAUAAUGGUGACUUUUAAAAAACAUUAAAGCUUUAGUCUAAAUCAUAACCUUUCCCCAUCUUUACUAUGAUAUUUAUCUUUGCUGAAUUUAUGUCUAUACUAACCAUAGUUGUUAAAAGAAAAACAGCAUUGGAAGAGAUUGGGAGAAAAUCCAUAAUAUUGUGGUGCAAAUAUUUGGUUACUUGGGGAAAUCUUAUUGCUACCUGAUUUUGAUUUUUGGUGAGGAAGUUUUGCCCUGAGCUAACAGCUGUUGCCAAACUUAUUUUUUUUGCUUGAGAAAGAUUAGCCCUGAGCUAAGGUCUAUGCCAUCUUCCUCUAUUUUACAUGUGGGUCACCGUCACAGCAUGAGUAACAGGUGGUGUAGGUCUGCACCUGGGAUCCGAACCCACAGACCCAGGCUGCCAAUGCAGAGCACGUGAGAUUUCAACCACUCGACCAUGGGGCCGGCCCCUGCUACCUGAUUUUUAAUAAAAACAGAAGACCUAGUUCUUGGCCAGGAUAGAAUUAUCAACGUCCCCUGUCCUUUAAUCCUCCAAAAAUUCUAAUUAAUUUUGUCACUGAUUGCUGAUAGCUCACCUGUAGAUUUCCAUCUUUAAGAUGUUUUGAGCAUGUAGAGGGUGGAUGCAGUGAAGCUCACUGGGAACCACUGAGGGCCUUUUGUAGAUUAUGCGUGCUCCAAAACCGUUCAUCGUUGUGCAUGGUAAAUGCUUAGUAGAGGUUAGUCUAUCAUUACUGUUAUUCAAAUUUUUACUAAUUUGUAAAUGUAAUAGGAGGUAAGAGAAAGAAGUGAUCAGUGUGUGCUACAGCAAUGAAGAAAGUUUAAUUAAAUAAUUGAGAUUUGAGCUGGGCCUUUGAAUAGUGGGUAAAAUUUAGCUAGCUGGCAACCUGAAUAAUGGGGAGGUCACACGAGAGGGGAAAAAUAAUAGUUGUAGAGUCAUGUGGGUCGCCAGUCUACUCUUAAGAUAACAGCCUGACUGGUUCACUGGGUAUGUAUUGGACUUUGUGGGAAAGAAAAUUGAAUAGAUGGGGCGGGAUGAGAUUAUGGAGGCUUUACAAGUCAGGCAAAGGAAUUUGGAUUUUGGUACGAUCAGCAAUGAAUUGUCUAUACUUGAGUGAAAGGAGUAACGUGACAGAGGCGAGUCUGCUGGCAGGAACCAGGAUGGCUGGAAAGAGUGGGUCGCUAAAGACAACAAGGGGACCAGAGAGAAGGCUGUUGGAGCAGCCCAGCUGGGCUGUAACCAGGGCUUGGCUGGUGGGCGGAGAGUGAGAGGGAGGCAAGGAUGGUGAAGGAGGCAGUGACAAGCCUGGGAAGCAGCCGAGCAACGAGACGGGACAGAUGUGUUCUGAGACCCCAUGAGCCCAGUACCAGGAUUCAAGGCUGGCAAAUACAUGGGUAUUUAUGGAACAGUGAAAGCGCAUAAUUGAGGAGGUUGCUGAAAAUGAGACUCUGAGGACCAUAAGUGCAUGGCCGGGCAAGAACGAAGGUGAGUAUGAACUGGGAAAGCAGGCAAAGAGAAGGGUGUCGUCCGGGUGCUCCUUCAGCUUCUAUGCCUUACGUCUCUGUCCUCCGUGUAGGCAGUUGAGGCCGAGGAAGUCAACGUGGAUUCAGGCGUCCAGGAUGGUGGUGACCAUCUGCACAUCUGUCCCCUCCAUAUCUGAGUGGUGCUGGAGGGCGAGAUGGCAUCAUGUUCACAUUCUCCACUGCGGUUGUCUGGUGUCCUCCUAGGUUCUUAUCCUGUCACCACCAGUCUGGCUGUGUGCCCCUGAGUAGGUUACUGACCCUCUUUGUGCUUUAGCUUCCUCGUGGGUGAGGUGGAAUAAUAGUGGUAUCGACCUCACAGGGGUACUGUGAGGCUUCAGUGAGGUAAUGUGCUCGGUGCUGAGAGCAGUGGCUGGUGAGCGCCAACCCUCGCCUUGAGGAGCUGCAGCAGCAGUGGUGGCACUGUGGUGGGUCACGGUGGAGUGGUGAGGGUGGCAGUUCACUUCUCCCCCAGGGACGUAAACGUUGUACUUACUCCCACCAGUAUGUUGAAAGCGUGGUCGUCAGAGGUAAUUCCUGUGAAACUACAUAUACAAUAUGAAAAGUCAAGAGCAUGCAUUUGGAGAGGUAUCUGUUAGGCCAAAAUCUUAGUUUUCAGGGAGUGUCCUUGUGGUUCACCAUUCAUGCAGUGACCGUCUAGUUAAAAGGAUGCUUGGAGGUUGCGUUCGUGUAGAUACAGCACUUGACAGGUAAGAGUGAAACCCAGGUGCCUACUUUCUCAGAAGCAGAGGUGUGAAGGACACCGACACGUCACCUGAGUUAAUAUUGUGGGGAUCCCAGAUUGAGCUCCUUUGAUGAAGUUUUCUCUGGUGGCUCCGUUUGGCUUUCCUUAUAGCUCUUACACCGCAGACAAGCUACAGCCCAGGUCCUGAAAAGUGGCUGGUUUAUGCCAAGAGUGGACUGUCACAGGAAAACUCUCAGUCACUCAACAGCAAACUGGACAGGCUCAGAGUGCUUUCUGGCAUGUGGGCUCCUCCCAGUGCCUUCUGGAGUGGCCAUUCCACCAGUAAAUCUGUAAUAGAGACUAGGGCACGUGCAGAGCAGGCCCUUUUGUCUUUCCAGGAACUGGCCCUCUUUUGUAUUAUGUUUUAUUUUGUUUGUUCAAAUCAUGUUUGAUUGUUGCCUUUUCUCCUGGGGAUCCCAGAAGGCAAGCAGUAUGGUGAUGGGAACCUCAGCUUUUGCCAUUUUUCAAAGGAGCUGGAAGUUUUAGGGGCUGGGGGAUGGGGAUCAUUUUGGUACAGAAAAGAAAAGCAUGUCUAGCAAAGGAUGAAGUCUGAAUUUGAUUAGUUCUUCAUGACAUGAGCGAUAUGCUGCCUCCAGUAGAAUUACGUGGCUUGACCUACUGUGCACUCAAAUCCAGAUGUUCCCAGGAGCAGUUCACUGACUGCCUGAAAUGUUGACUGGGGCUUCUGUCGUGGCACACGGGCAGGGUGCAGCCCUCUUUGUGGAGUCAGCUGCGCAUGGUGUCACGGGGCCCGCAGAAGCCCAUACCCACGUCUGGCUGAAGGCCAUGUGCUCCUCCAGGGCCAGUGGACAGGCUCCUCACUUCACAUUUCUACAGCAAAGCUCCAACGGCAGCAGGGCAGACUGGCAAAGGCUCUGUAGGUGUUCCUGUGCCUGUCUUUACCAGGGAGUCAGAGCUGUGUCUUUGCUCCCUGUCUCUGCUCAUUGAGAAUCACUGGGAAGAGAGAAUUUCAGGAAUGCCACAAAAAUUCUUACGGAGUGGGAGAAUCUGUCUGAAGACAGAAAUAGGCAUAAUACCACUCUAUCUGAAACACAGGGAGAUGCAACGAGGAAGGAACUCUGAAGACACAUUCUGUGUUUGUAUGACUGAUUUUUAGUCUGUCUACUGAUGUUUCCUCCUGUUCUGGUUUGAAAAAAUGUUUUUGAAAGCUAAAUUUGUUUUAGUUUACUUAUACACUAGAAUACUACUAUUGCUACC